AGAGUUUGAUCAUGGCUCAGGAUGAACGCUAGCGACAGGCUUAACACAUGCAAGUCGAGGGGCAGCGGGGCGGCAGGCUUGCCUGCCGUUGCCGGCGACCGGCGCACGGGUGAGUAACACGUAUGCAACCUGCCCGUGGCAGGGGGAUAAGCGGGGGAAACCCCGUCUAAUACCGCGUAACGCGGCCUAGGGACAUCCCAAGGCCGCCAAAGGGAGCAAUCCCGGCCACGGAUGGGCAUGCGGCGCAUUAGCUAGUCGGCGGGGUAACGGCCCACCGAGGCGACGAUGCGUAGGGGUUCUGAGAGGAAGGCCCCCCACACUGGUACUGAGACACGGACCAGACUCCUACGGGAGGCAGCAGUGACCAAUAUUGGUCAAUGGGCGCGAGCCUGAACCAGCCAAGUCGCGUGAGGGAGGACGGCCCUACGGGUUGUAAACCUCUUUUGCCAGGGAGCAACGGGCGCCACGUGUGGCGCCACUGAUAUACCCGGAAAAAAAGCAUCAGCUAAAU
rnacentral:rRNA from 1 species